UACAGAGGGGGCAAGCGUUGUUCGGAAUUACUGGGCGUAAAGGGCGCGUAGGCGGCCUGCUAAGUCGAACGUGAAAUCCCUGGGCUCAACCCAGGAACUGCGUCCGAUACUGGUUGGCUUGAAUCCGGGAGAGGGAUGUGGAAUUCCAGGUGUAGCGGUGAAAUGCGUAGAUAUCUGGAGGAACACCGGUGGCGAAGGCGACAUCCUGGACCGGUAUCGACGCUGAGGCGCGAAAGCCAGGGGAGCAAACGGG
rnacentral:rRNA from 1 species